UGGGGAAUUUUGGACAAUGGGGGCAACCCUGAUCCAGCCAUCCCGCGUGUGCGAUGAAGGCCUUCGGGUUGUAAAGCACUUUUGGCAGGGAAGAAACAGCCUGGGCUAAUAUCCCGGGCGACUGACGGUACCUGCAGAAUAAGCACCGGCUAACUACGUGCCAGCAGCCGCGGUAAUACGUAGGGUGCAAGCGUUAAUCGGAAUUACUGGGCGUAAAGCGUGCGCAGGCGGUUCGGAAAGAAAGGUGUGAAAUCCCAGGGCUUAACCUUGGAACUGCACUUUUAACUACCGGGCUAGAGUACGUCAGAGGGGGGUAGAAUUCCACGUGUAGCAGUGAAAUGCGUAGAGAUGUGGAGGAAUACCGAUGGCGAAGGCAGCCCCCUGGGAUGAUACUGACGCUCAUGCACGAAAGCGUGGGGAGCAAA
rnacentral:rRNA from 1 species